ACGCACGCUGGCGGCGUGCUUAACACAUGCAAGUCGAACGGAAAGGCCCUGCUUUUGUGGGGUGCUCGAGUGGCGAACGGGUGAGUAACACGUGAGUAACCUGCCCUUGACUUUGGGAUAACUUCAGGUAACUGGGGCUAAUACCGGAUAGGAGCUCCUGCUGCAUGGUGGGGGUUGGAAAGUUUCGGCGGUUGGGGAUGGACUCGCGGCUUAUCAGCUUGUUGGUGGGGUAGUGGCUUACCAAGGCUUUGACGGGUAGCCGGCCUGAGAGGGUGACCGGCCACAUUGGGACUGAGAUACGGCCCAGACUCCUACGGGAGGCAGCAGUGGGGAAUAUUGCACAAUGGGCGGAAGCCUGAUGCAGCAACGCCGCGUGCGGGAUGACGGCCUUCGGGUUGUAAACCGCUUUCGCCUGUGACGAAGCGUGAGUGACGGUAAUGGGUAAAGAAGCACCGGCUAACUACGUG
rnacentral:rRNA from 1 species